CAGAUUGUAGCUAAAACAGCUAAAGCAUCUCUUUUACACUGAGAAAAUACCCGUGCAAGUCGAGUCAUUCUGA
rnacentral:tRNA from 1 species